rnacentral:rRNA from 1 species
CCCUUAGAUGUCCUGGGCCGCACGCGUGCUACACUGACGCCUGCAGCGAGUACUUCCCAGCCCCGAGAGGUGGCUGGUAAUCAGCAAUAGGCGUCGUGAUGGGGAUAGAUCUUUGGAAUUAUGGAUCUUGAACGAGGAAUGCCUAGUAAGCGCAGGUCAUUAGCCUGCGCUGAUUGAGUCCCUGCCCUUUGUACACACCGCCCGUCGCUCCUACCGAUUUCGAGUGGUCCGGUGAAUCUUUCGGACUGCGCGCGGCCUCGUGCCGUGUCGCGGAAAGUCAGGUAAACCUUAUCACUUAGAGGAAGGAGAAGUCGUAACA